rnacentral:rRNA from 1 species
CCUACGGGGGGCAGCAGUAGGGAAUCUUCCACAAUGGGCGAAAGCCUGAUGGAGCAACGCCGCGUGGGUGAAGAAGGUCUUCGGAUCGUAAAACCCUGUUGUUAGAGAAGAAAGUGCGUGAGAGUAACUGUUCACGUUUCGACGGUAUCUAACCAGAAAGCCACGGCUAACUACGUGCCAGCAGCCGCGGUAAUACGUAGGUGGCAAGCGUUAUCCGGAUUUAUUGGGUGUAAAGGGUGCGUAGACGGGAAAUUAAGUUAGUUGUGAAAUCCCUCGGCUUAACUGAGGAACUGCAACUAAAACUG